rnacentral:rRNA from 1 species
UACGUAGGGGGCAAGCGUUGUCCGGAUUUCUUGGGCGUAAAGCGCUCGCAGGCGGUCCCGUGCGUCGUGCGUGAAAGGCCCCGGCUCAACCGGGGGCGGUCGUGCGAUACGGCGGGACUGGAGGGCAGUAGGGGGACGCGGAAUUCCUGGUGUAGCGGUGAAAUGCGCAGAUAUCAGGAAGAACACCAAUGGCGAAGGCAGCUCUCUGGGACGGUACUGACACUGAGACGCGAAAGCGUGGGGAGCGAACAGG